AGGCAUGUGGCAGUGACGGUUGAAGCAUCUCUCACAGUGUCUGUGCUGCCCUGGUGGAGGCCUGCGUGUCCUACCCUAGAGACACCAAAGGCAAGGGGAAAGAGAAAACAAGUGACUGCUGGAAGAGAAGCUCUACAUGUCUGUGAGUGUUUAAGUUUUAAUUGACUUAUUUCCUGUUUAUACACACUGAUUGUAGGAACCUUGGAAAAUACAGAAAGUAAUAGAGAAGAAAGCUGGAGAAGAAAAUGGCAACCCACUCCAGUAUUCUUGCCUGGAAAAUCCCAUGGAUAGAGGAGCCUGGUGGGCUACAGUCCAUGGGGUCACUAAGAGUUGGACACGACUGAGUGACUGAGAAGGCACAGAGGAGAAAGCAAAAACACUCAUAAUACCACAACCAGAAAUAACAACUAUCAAUAUUCUUUAUUUUCCAGUAGUUUAUUUUAUCUAUGUACUUGAUGUGUUGAAAAUAGGAAAAAAAAAAAAAACCCACACAUGAAAGUGGGCUACAAACUUGACAAUUGCUAUUUUUGAGUUGUGGUUUAUGGAGGAUUUAUGCACAGUUAAUACUCUGAAUACAAUUUUUCUGCUUUAACUUGCUAUUACAUUAUGUCUAGGCUGUUUUUAUAAAUUUUUCUUUGCAGACUUUCUUCACAGUGGCAGUGUAGCAUUCCAGAAUGAGUGUUCUGUCAUACACAUGAUCAACCACCAGGGGGCAUGCUGGGAGGACCAAGGUGGGACUGGUUUUGCUCACAUCUUCUUCCUCAGCACCUGUCACAGGACCUGGAUCAUUGUAAGCACUCAAUAAUAUUUGCUGAAUGAAGGAAGUAUUAGCCAUUUAGCUUACAGCUGGAUUUUUUCUUUUUCAUAUAUAAAGUUUUACUAAAAAUCUUUGCUCAUCAGUCUCUCUCAGGUCUCUGCUUUCCCCCAACUCUGUGUUGGUUUAUUCUAGGUUCUGCUCUAGCACCUCUGGUUCAGCAAAAAGCCAAUAUAUAUCAUUAGGCCAAAAGGAAAAAUCCACCAGCAGCUUGGACUACAGGCUAAAUGAGGCCACAUCUGGACCUCUGAAAGGUGAAGUUCCAGUGAGCACCCGGGGCCAAAAUGACUUCAAGUACUCUUCCGUCACCCUGGAAGAAGAAAAAGAAACAUUUUCAACUUUAUUACGUUAAUAUGGCCUUAACUGAACGGAAAAGACUCAGUGGACUCCAGUUUCGACAGAUACGCUGACUGCUGCCAGGAUUGUUUGUAGGACUUUACAGCACUUGUUCUUGCAGUCAUAGAAUCAGAAAUCUGGAUCAGGCAGAUAACCAGAAAUCCUCUGCUCUGGAGUUUUGCAAACAUCAGUGUGCAUAGGAAUCACCUGAGCAGUUCUUUUAAAAUGCAGUUUCUGAUCUUGUAGGACAAAGGGUUAUGAAAAGGGUCUAGUUUAACCUCCUCAUUUUCUGCAAGGGAAACUGAAGCCCAGAGAAUGAAUGUCUCAUUGCCCAUGCCCCCCAGAGUCUCUGACUCUAAUCACAUGCUUUUAUUUUUUCUACUUCACCUUGAUGGUUUAUUAAGAAAUUCUGUGGAAACCACAGUACCACACAGAGCUACCAGGGUGACAAUGGCCAAGGGCGUGUGGGCAGCUUAGAUGAUACCAAGGGCAAAGCAGGACAGAGCCUGGAAGAAUGAGGAAGAGGUGGUGACCAAGGGUCACUGGCCAGAAGGUCGUGAGAAGGCAUACAGCAGGUAUAUUUAAAUCACUGACUCAAACAAAAGAGAAUGGGAUUAACAGAUGAUAGUUUUCACAUUCUUUACUAUAAAGUUAGUAGACAAUCAGGGUUGGUGUCAGGGAGAUAUUUUUAGGCAAGGGGCCCUCCCAGCACCCCCUCACAUGAUGUCAGCGACUAACUAUUUUGCCUCCUCAUGUGGCUAGCCCUGGCAAUAAUUAUUUAUUCCCAGGCUUUAACUUUAGUGGAAGUGACAAGGUCAAUAGUUUAAGAACAGAGAUUAACUGUUAACCUAUUAACCAGCCAAUUAAUUUGUUACCUUAAUUAUACAUUGUUAAUCUGUUUCCUUGCAGUGGAGAUAUUUAAUUUUAGAGAAAGAAAAUGUAUAAAGUUAAAUAUUCAAAUAAUUCCUUUGCCUCUUGAGAUUUUAACACAACCAGUUGGCCAAGGAAAAUUCCCACAUGUGGUCCCAUAAACCUGGGCUUUUAGGCUAUGAUUUCAGCCCUUUCACUAUACCUUAAAAACCAUCCUCCCCCAAAUCACCAUCUGCAGUUCUCUACCUACACUAGAAUCUACCUUUAAACUUUCUAGUUAUUUAAUUAGCUAUUAAUUCUCAUAACUGGUGCUUGUGUUAUUAGUGUCAGUACUUUAAAUUACUGUUUUGUAUUGGCCAAGAAAAUGCAAAGUGGCCAGAUUACUUAGGAGUAGCUCUGAGUCAACUGGUCUGGUUGGUUACUGCUAAGCUAACACACGAUCUUGCUAGGACAGUAUUCAGUAUACACCUUGAAAACACUGGUGCUCCAGAAACCUUGACAAAAUUAAAUGAAGUGAGGCAAUUGUACAUAGUGCAUUUGAUUGUGCCUAGCCAACAGGCAUAAUUAUAACCCAGACACUGAUAGCAAAGUUAUGGGAUGCAUCUGGAGGUUACAGAGGCUGGCAGGAAGGAACCAGGAAUUAGGGUGUCUGGUGGUAGGUCUCCUUUUCUUGGCAUUGGUGGCAUUCGCCAGUACACUGCAAAGUUCAGAGCGUACAGAAUCAUUUUUGCUGCACAGGCCACUUCCCAGGAUGUCCUUGGCUGAACUUUUAACUCUAUCACACUAAAGCAAGGUCCAGAGGAAAACAGGAAAAUAAACACUGCACCCUUCUCCCUGCCAAUUUGUUUGUGCAUGCAACACUAUGAAGUUAUUCCCAAAGCUGGAAAUAACCUGUCUACACUUUAAAGUGCUUGAUACUUCAAGUAUCAUUAUCAUUUUACUUUUGUCCCUCAGGAUGUGCAAGUUUCAAGUUUGUGAUAAUUUUUGGUUUACCAGCCUGUAUAAGUUUUUCAGCUUGUAAAAUACUUUCACUUCUAUUCCACAAAUGUAUUUGGAUUCAGGAAAGCUGGGAAGGAAUGAGUCAUGUUUAGGAAAUGUUGUUAAAUAAAAACUGGUUUUAAACUCUG